GAAGUUUCGAUCGGGAUGGCUNGCGGCCUAUCAGCUUGUUGGUGGGGUAAUGGCCCANNAAGGCGANGACGGGUAGCCGGCCUGAGAGGCGGANCGGCCACACUGGGACUGAGACACGGCCCAGACUCCNACGGGAGGCAGCAGUGGGGNAUAUUGCACAAUGGGGGAAACCCUGAUGCAGCGACGCAGCGUGCGGGAUGACGGCCUUCGGGUUGUAAGCCNNUUUCAGCAGGGAAGAAGCGAAAGUAACGGUACCUGCAGAAGAAGUACCGGCU
rnacentral:rRNA from 1 species